AGCAGCCGCGGUAAUUCCAGCUCCAAUAGCGUAUAUUAAAGUUGUUGCAGUUAAAAAGCUCGUAGUUGAAUUUCGGGAUCAAAUUGUCGGUCGUGCCUCGGUACGCACUGGCGUUAUUGGUUCCUCCCUUCUGAAGAACCGCGAUGUCAUUAAUUUGGUGUCGCGGGGAAUCAGGACUGUUACUUUGAAAAAAUUAGAGUGUUUAAAGCAGGCUCGCGCUUGAAUACAUUAGCAUGGAAUAAUGAAAUAGGACGUUUGAUUCUAUUUUGUUGGUUUCUAGGAUCGACGUAAUGAUUAAUAGGGAUAGUUGGGGGCAUUAGUAUUCAAUUGUCAGAGGUGAAAUUCUUGGAUUUAUUGAAGACUAACUACUGCGAAAGCAUUUGCCAAGGAUGUUUUCAUUAAUCAAGAACGAAAGUUAGGGGAUCGAAGACGAUCAGAUACCGUCGUAGUCUUAACCAUAAACUAUGCCGACUAGGGGCCGGAUGAUGUUAAUUUUUUAAUGACUCAUUCGGCGCCUUACG
rnacentral:rRNA from 1 species